rnacentral:rRNA from 1 species
AUUGAACGCUGGCGGCAGGCCUAACACAUGCAAGUCGAGCGCGCGGCGCACGGGUGUGUAAUAUAUGGGGGCUGCCCCAUAGAGGGGGGUAACACCUCUAAACGGUAGCUCAUACCGCAUACUCUCGCAUUACCCACAUGGGAUUAGCUCUUAGGUGGGGUAAUGGCUCACCUCGGCGACGAGCCCUAGCGGGUCUGAGAGGAUGAUCAGCCACACUGGGACUGAGACACGGUCCAGACUCCUACGGAGGCAGCAGUGGGGAAUAUUGCACAAUGGGCGCAAGCCUGAUGCAGCCAUGCCGCGUGUAUGAAGAAGGCCCUAGGGUUGUAAAGUACUUUCAGUCGGGAGGCGUUACCGACAGAAGAAGCACCGGCUAACUCCGUGCCAGCAGCCGCGGUAAUAC